rnacentral:rRNA from 1 species
AUUGAACGCUGGCGGCAGGCCUAACACAUGCAAGUCGAGCGGCAGCGGGAAAGUAGCUUGCUACUUUUGCCGGCGAGCGGCGGACGGGUGAGUAAUGCCUGGGAAAUUGCCCAGUCGAGGGGGAUAACAGUUGGAAACGACUGCUAAUACCGCAUACGCCUACGGGGGAAAGCAGGGGACCUUCGGGCCUUGCGCGAUUGGAUAUGCCCAGGUGGGAUUAGCUAGUUGGUGAGGUAAUGGCUCACCAAGGCGACGAUCCCUAGCUGGUCUGAGAGGAUGAUCAGCCACACUGGAACUGAGACACGGUCCAGACUCCUACGGGAGGCAGCAGUGGGGAAUAUUGCACAAUGGGGGAAACCCGUGAUGCAGCCAUGCCGCGUGUGUGAAGAAGGCCUGGUUGUAAG